AUGAAGCGCAAGAACAAGGAGCAGAGGAGGGCAGAUGGAAUCACCGAUAGAGGCAGUGAUUCGCUGGAGACCAUGCGGCCGAACAAGAAGCAGAGGCUGGGCGGUGGCAGCGGUAGCGAUGAGGAGACCUCGCCCUACCUGGUGGUAGGUCAUGGGAGCGUGAGCCCUGCCUUCUCCGUGUUCAAGGUGGAACCCUACACCGACGGCGGCGGCGACACCCCGGUGAGCAUCCCGCGCCGCCUCGCCCGCCUCAAAUGCAAACACAACAUGUCUUUCGUCCCUUUGAGAUUGAAGGACCGCCGGUGGAUCGUCGGCGUCGGCGGCAGCUCAACCGAGAACUACUACGGCCCGGGGACCAUCAUUUUCGACACCGAGAAGCAGUUGGUGAUCCGGGGGCCGGAACCUAAGUCGAUCAAGAGCCACCCGAUCCUGCUACCCAUCGACCAGAAGAUCUACGCCCUUUCCCGAAGCCCCUCAGUGAAGGGACCGCUCGAUUACUUGCCCUGGUUCGAGGUCCUCGAUCUCUCCCAGGCACAGGAAGUUGACGGCUGUCUAACCAACUGCAAGUGGAGCUCCCUGCAGCGGCCGCCCUUCUUUCCCUGGGAGCUCACCCCACGGCAGUACUUAUGUCCACCGAGGGUUGCCGUCGAGUCAUACGUCGCCGUGGGCUCCCACAUACUGGUUUCUGUGACAGGACGGGUGGGCACGUACGCUUUUGACACGAAGGGCUCGAAGAAGUGGGUGACGGUGGAUGACGAGAACAACCUGCCGUUCAGCGAUGGUGCCAUCCCGCACGGAGGUGGGCUCUUCCUCGGCUUAUCAAGCACCACAAAGGCCAUCACUGGAUACAAGAUUAAUAUCGGCACUAGGUCACUCUCUGUUGUUGAGAUUCCUGUGGUGUCCAACUUGGAAGAUGAAGAGCUGGUCGGUCGCUCACACAAUUUCCUUUCCCUGGGGAUUGAUAGUGGCUUCUGCUUGGUGACCUGUUGGAGUGUUGACGAAUCGCCGUAUCCCCCGUAUCACCGGGCGCACAUCAGGGUGAGGACGUACAGAACAGAUGAUUUUGUGGAGUCGGAGGGAAAAUGCUUAGUCGUCUCCAAGCAGUGGAUGCAGGUUUACAAGAUCCGCGAUUUUAUCCGGACACUAGAUGCGCCAUGUCUGGUUGGUGUGGUCUACAUAUGA
rnacentral:rRNA from 1 species